rnacentral:rRNA from 1 species
GAUGAACGCUGGCGGCGUGCCUAACACAUGCAAGUCGAGCGAAGCGGGGACGGGUGAGUAACAUGUGGAUAAACCCCUAUAUGACUGGGAUAACUUCGGGAAACCGGAGCUAAACCGGAAACUUAUAGAUGGAUCCGCGCUGCAUUAGCUAGUUGGUAGGGUAACGGCUUACCAAGGCAACGAUGCAUAGCCGACCUGAGAGGGUGAUCGGCCACACUGGAACUGAGACACGGUCCAGACUCCUACGGGAGGCAGCAGUGGGGAAUCUUCCACAAUGGGCGAAAGCCUGAUGGAGCAACGCCGCGUGAGUGAUGAAGGUCUUCGGAUCGUAAAGCUCUGUUAUUAGGGAAGCGGUACCUGAACAGAAAGCCACGGCUAACUACGUGCCAGCAGCCGCGGUAAUAC